GACGAACCGUGCGAACGUUGUUCGGAAUCACUGGGCUUAAAGGGCGCGUAGGCGGGCGAUCAAGUCAGGGGUGAAAUCCCUCGGCUUAACCGGGGAACUGCAUCUGAUACUGGAUGGCUUGAGUUCGGGAGAGGGAUGCGGAAUUCCAGGUGUAGCGGUGAAAUGCGUAGAUAUCUGGAGGAACACCGGUGGCGAAGGCGGCAUCCUGGACCGACACUGACGCUGAGGAGCGAAAGCCAGGGGAGCAAACGGG
rnacentral:rRNA from 1 species